CUAAACACCCUAAUGCUUAGAUUUGUAGACGAGUAUGAAACCCACAGUAAUUCUGGCAAAGUUAAAGAAUAGUAUUUCACACAUAUUUAAUGGGCCUCCAAAAAUUACUUCAUCAUCUUACCUGACAGGUUUAUGAAAUACCUACAUCUUACCUGACAGGUUUAUGAAAUAUCUAAGGCCAAAAAAUAAUGUGAUUCUGAUCUAAAGUAAUCUGGAUUCCCACUUAAAAAGUCACAGCAGGUGAUCACAGUUGUAAUAGAAUUGAAAAGUAGACGUGCUGAGUUUUUUAGUGUUUCAGUCUGCCUUUACCUGUAUAUCCCC
rnacentral:lncRNA from 1 species